UACGGAGGGUGCAAGCGUUAAUCGGAAUUACUGGGCGUAAAGCGCGCGUAGGCGGAUGCCUAAGUCGGAUGUGAAAGCCCCGGGCUCAACCUGGGAACUGCAUACGAUACUGGACAUCUUGAGUACGAUAGAGGGUGGUAGAAUUUCUUGUGUAGCGGUGAAAUGCGUAGAUAUAAGAAGGAAUACCGGUGGCGAAGGCGGCCACCUGGAUCGAUACUGACGCUGAGGUGCGAAAGCGUGGGGAGCAAACA
rnacentral:rRNA from 1 species